UUAGUGAAAUAAAAGUUUACCAAGUAAAAUUUAUAAUUAAAAUUUUAAUAAAUUGAUUGAUUUUAAAUAUUUUCUUUCCUACACAACUCGAAGUACAUAUUCGAUACACUGACCGCGGAGUUCGUAUACGAGCUCGGUAGCUCGUAUGAGAAAUAUGAGAAAACUCUCAUACGAGCCUUUUCCGUAAUGAGAAGUGUAUAGAUGCUUGUAUACGAGAACAUUGACUGAAUUCGGAAAUGUAAUUAAGCCGCAAUGUACAAUAACAACAGCUAAGCCCGGGUUGUUUUUUUCAACUGCAAUAAAUAUGUACUUCGAGUUGUGUAGGAAAGAAAAUAUUUAAAAUCAAUCAAUUUAUUAAAAUUUUAAUUAUAAAUUUUACUUGGUAAACUUUUAUUUCACUAAUUGUUUGGACAGUCACAAAAUCUUUUACUUGGCGGAACUUUUUGCAUCAAUGAUGUUUUUGUUGGGAUAAAUACUUUUUGAAAAAUUCUCAGUUAGCGCGAUGGGUUUUUUUAAUUGCCGGUAUUUAUCACGGAAUUGUAAAGCACAAGGAAUAUUCAAUUGAAGCAGCCAUAUUUCGUGAGGAGGAAAAGCAGAGGAUUCUAUUAAAAAAAGAAGAAUUUGCUCGAGAGGAAAAUCUGAGAAAUCAGGAGACUGCACGAGAACUUGCUGAAGCUUUAACUGGUUUACGCGUUAGAUUCGAAAAAGUAUUUCCUUCUGAAAAUAGUGAUGAUUCUAUAGCGGAAACCGAAUCAAAAUUGAUCAAGAAACCUGAAAUAGAAAAUACUUCACAGGACAAAUAGCUAUCUAUUAAUGAAUCUAUUUUCAAAGCUAAUACAUACCGCGUAUUGAAAUAAUCCAAAAUACAUUCUUCUAUUCAAACAGUCACCUUUUCAGUCGAAAAGAAAGUGCAAAACUCUUGAAUUCAAAGUUAUAUUCAAAAAAUAAUUGUUCCAAGCAUUUUGUCAAAAAAACAAUAAAUAACGGAUUUUUGUAUUUAA